GGAAUGUAGCUUAGUGGCAGAGCGCUUGCCUGGGGUGCAUGAGGCUCUGAGCUCAGCCCCCAGUACUACCA
rnacentral:tRNA from 1 species